rnacentral:rRNA from 1 species
AACGAACGCUGGCGGCAGGCUUAACACAUGCAAGUCGAACGGUUGUAGCAAUACAGCAGUGGCAGACGGGUGAGUAACACGUGGGAACCUUCCUAGGGGUACGGAACAACUCAGGGAAACUUGAGCUAAUACCGUAUACGUCCGUGAGGAGAAAGAUUUAUCGCCCUUAGACGGGCCCGCGUCGGAUUAGCUAGUUGGUGGGGUAACGGCCUACCAAGGCGACGAUCCGUAGCUGAUCUUAGAGGAUGAUCAGCCACACUGGGACUGAGACACGGCCCAGACUCCUACCGGGAGGCAGCAGUGGGGAAUCUUGGACAAUGGGCGCAAGCCUGAUCCAGCCAUGCCGCGUGAGUGAAGAAGGGUCUUCGGAUUGUAAAGCUCUUUUACCAGGGACGAUAAUGACGGUACCUGGAGAAUAAGCCCCGGCAAACUUCGUGCCAGCAGCCGCGGUAAGAUAGCGUACU